rnacentral:rRNA from 1 species
GAUGAACGCUAGCUACAGGCUUAACACAUGCAAGUCGAGGGGAAACGAUAGAGAAAGCUUGCUUUUUCUAGGCGUCGACCGGCGCACGGGUGAGUAACGCGUAUCCAACCUGCCCAUCACUUGGGGAUAACCUUGCGAAAGUAAGACUAAUACCCAAUGACGUCUCUAGAAGACAUCUGAAGGAGAUUAAAGAUUUAUCGGUGAUGGAUGGGGAUGCGUCUGAUUAGCUUGUUGGCGGGGUAACGGCCCACCAAGGCGACGAUCAGUAGGGGUUCUGAGAGGAAGGUCCCCCACAUUGGAACUUAGACACGGUCCAAACUCCUACGGGAGGCAGCAGUGAGGAAUAUUGGUCAAUGGACGAGAGUCUGAACCAGCCAAGUAGCGUGCAGGAUGACGGCCCUAUGGGUUGUAAACUGCUUUUAUAAGGGAAUAAAGUGAGCCACGUGUGGCUUUUUGCAUGUACCUUAUGAAUAAGGACCGGCUAAUUCCGUGCCAGCAGCCGCGGUAA